rnacentral:tRNA from 1 species
UGGGGCGUGGCCAAGCGCUAAGGCAACGGGUUUUGGUCCCGCUAUUCGGAGGUUCGAAUUCUUCUGUCCGAG